rnacentral:lncRNA from 1 species
CUGCCCGCGCCACCCUGCUGUGGUCCCGGGGCUGCCUGGCACAGGGCCCUGGUUUGCCGGCCCACUGGGAGUCGUUUUCAAUCUCCGAGCAGAUGAGGCGCCCAAACGCGGCUUUGGGUUCAGGGGGCUGCUAACCCGGCGUCGGUGGGCAUGAAGGAGAGAGACACUUGAGGUGUGGGCUGCACACCACCCUCAGCCUUCUGCUUGCUGACCUGCCCCUCUGCAGCGCUGCUCCUGCUGAAUGUGCUUGCUGAUGCGAUCGUCUCCUCCGAGCAUGUCAGCUUCCAGGUGCAGGGAUCCCACGUCCUCAGGGCCCGUCGGGACUCACUGAACACUCCUGGAAGAAGGAAUGAACGUGACCCCAAGCCCCUGCUUCAGAGGGUUUCUCAGAGCCCCGUGUUGGGGUUGGGGGGUAUUCUGUGCUCCCCUAGGAAGUGGGCACUACUAAGGAGCCUCCAGGCAUCCUGAGCCAAAGGGCAUCAUGGAGGUUCGCAGGACCCUCUGAAAGAGACUUUCUGUGCCAAGCAGCAUCCCCAGGAAGAUUCAGAAAGUAUACAUAACGCAAGCUCUUGUCAUCCAAACCCGAGUUCCUGCCAUCAUUUUGCCCGACUGGCUUUGCCUUUCUUCUCACUGUGGGGACGCGGC